GACUUCCCCCAUCAGGAGUGCUGUUCAUGCUGUUGAUUGUGGAGAGGUCCCACCCUAACCACACCAACAGAUGAAAGCCUCUUAUUUUAUGCACCUGUGAACAUUUCCACACAUCUUCUUUGCUGAGUCCGUUUACCCGCCCUUGUCAAAUAGCCAUCUCUCCAACUGACAGAGAAUACUGGACAUCCCACCCUGAUUAUACUAUUCAUUUAUUUUUAUUAGUCUUGACAGGCUCACUCUCCAUGCAGCAGUUGUACCGCUGAUCCGUCUCCUGUCUUUGAGACAAAACACUUUUUCUUUCACCAAGGAGGUUACAUACUGAGGAUAACGAACAGGGAAGAGAAUUUGAAUUUGAAUUUUUAUUAGUAUUAGUAUUAGCCAGAAAGAAUUCAUUGAUAGAUAAAAAAUAAAAACGAAUUAGGAUGAAUUGUGUCAUCUGAUCACUUUCAAAUGCUGUGAAGAAGGAAACAUGAUUGACAGUGACAAGUGUGGGAUUGACGUCAAUAUAGCCGGAGCAGCUCGUUAUGAAGUCAGCAGUUUUCAUUGCCCAACUCAACCAAUCAAUGUGAACUGGAGACAGUAAAUUUCCUUUGGGAAAUGCAACAGAAACAGUGCUCAGUGGAGAAAGAGGGAACCCAGCAGCACAAACAGUCACCACUCUCCUCAUUUUGACUGCAUGUAGGAUUCCUGUGAGAGACGCUUACCUUUUGUUGACUAAAGAAUUACUGCUGAAAAAUUAACCUGCGUUUUGGAAGGGGCUACCACACUUGAUAUGAAAUGACGCAGAGUGCAGAAGAACAUAUACUCUGCUUUUUGAUUUAUGUCUUUCAGAAAUUGCUGUAACUGUGCUGUCAGUGUCUGGGAGACUGCAUUGGCGUGACUCUUGUUGGGCAUCUGCCAAGAAAAGAAAUGCAGGAAAUGGACCAGCAAUGACAGGCUAAGGUGAAAUUUAUUAUGCCUCUGCACUAACGAUAACCAUGGCCGGAGUUAUUGUGUUUUUGUGCUG